CUUCUCUUCCAUGUUGUCUUCUUCUUCUUUUGUCUUUGUGUUUUUUUAUAACCAUGUUUCUGUUUUUUUCUCUUUGCUUCAAUGUUGUUUCUCUUCCAUUUCAAUUUUGAGUCUCAGUCUCUGCUAGGAAAAAAAGGGUACAAAUAAUUAAUUCAUUACACAUUACACCGAGAUUAUGAAUUAGUCUAUGUUAAUUUAUCUAUUUUUUACUAAUAUUGUGUGCCUUAAAGGUCCGCAUCUCGCUUAGCGCCUAAGCCCCCAGAGACCUUUGGCGCCUUGGUGUGCCUUGAGCCUUUAAAAACAUUGCUCUCAACUUGUGUCCUCUUCGGCUUUGAUCUCGAGCAGUGGUGGUUGUGGGCCUAAUCGGGGUAGUUUUCAUGGUAGCUCGAGUCAUCAUGGAUCUCAUAUUGGUUCAUGUGGUUCUCGUGGUGCGGGUUCUGCAUCCAGUGGUGAUUGGAAGUGUACUCAUUGUGAUUUCAUGGGUCACUCGGAACCUUGGUGUUGGCAGAAGUAAACUUGAUCAUGACCUCCAGACUAAGAAGAUGAUUGGUUCGGGGCAUGAGAAGUAUGGUUUAUAUCUCUUGGACAAUGCUGGCUCUUCGACUCCUAGUUCUACUAUUUUGAGUGCUACCGUGUCUCCCUUGCAAUGGCAUUUUUGUCUUGGGUCAUCCAUCCUUGGCCAAGCUUAAGUUAGCCAUUUCUGGUUUUAAGUCCUGUGUCUCAACUUGAAUGUGAAGUGGUCAGCUUGGCAAGCACCACCGUAGUUCCUUUUCUAGUCUUAGUAUUAGUCACGUGUCCUCUUUUUUUGAUGUAGUCCAUACAGACAUAUGGGGGCCUUCUCUCACCCCCACUAUUAAUGAUUGCUUUUAUUUUGUUAUUUUUAUGGAUGAUUAUUCUUGGA